UCUUUACUUUGUAGUACUGAAGGUUUUGAAUUGUGGGGUCAAAUAUGGGAGCAUUUUACUUCAAUCCACUGUCCAGACAUUAAGCUUCCAUCUACUUCAGCUGCUUUUACUUGAUGACUACUGUGAUUGGUUAGACACAAAAAUGAUCCAAAGGAGGUCCUUUGAAUUAAGGAACUCAAUGUAGGGACUCAAGGGAAGCCAAACCAUGUGGUUAUAAAUUGUGGCAUCUGCAAGUGCAAGACCAGCAUUGCAGUACCCUACAUGUCCUGGAUAAUAUUACCUAAUGAGAAAAAAAUUGUGGGUCUAGUUUAGUGAACCCUGGAUUGAUGGGUUAUGCAAGUCGAAUCAGGAGUUGCUCCCAAAUAACUCUACUUUGUGUAAAUGCCUUUAUUUCCAGGCUGUAAAACUUCAGCUGCUUUUACUGGAUAAAUAUUGCGAGUGCUUACACAUAAAAAAAGGUAUCCAACUUCUGACUGAGAUGAUAUCUUUUGCAACUAAGCUAAUAAGAAUCUUUGUGCUAACCAUGCUUGUUUUCUCAGUGACUAAUGGAUGGAAGUUGUAUAAAUUAGAAGAGAGAAAGGGUAUUGUUUUCGUGCUUAAGUGAAGGAACUGAUGGGGGUAUUUAUAAAGCACAACAGAAGCAAAAAAACUCACAAAGUUGUGAGCCUUUUUUCUUGUGCCGUUAAUCUCUAUGCAACAGCGUGUGAUUACUUCCAUUGAUAUAAAUAUUUGGAUAAACAUGUUUGCAUAUGUUUGGCAACCAAACAAGACUUUGGGGUGGGGUCCUCUUUCUUCUCGUCUUCCUUUGGGUUUAAAGACAUACCAAGUUCUACAUGUACUCCCAGGGCCUAAUCCAAUGGAGACCCAGUUUCAGAAAUCCAUUAGUUGCUUCAUCCAUACCCACCAAGGUGGAUUUGGGUCUUAUGUUUUCUCAGAAAAGGCCCAAACAAUGGAUUCGGUGCAGCAGUCAUAUAGGAAUAUGUAGGAUUCUUGUUGUUCAUGUCAUACUCAUAGUGCAGGUAAAAGAACAACUGCCAUAGAAGCAGACAACUAAAUAUGAAACGAAAACCGUGAGUUUUCUCAUUAUGUAUAUAUGUUAAUGUACAAUGGUAUUAACUGCUACAGUAUACAAAACUGAAAACAAAAUUUGGCUUUAGAAACUCCAUAUUGGUAACUGUUGGCAUGUUUCUUGCCGAUAGAGAUUCAAUGAUGAUGAGCAAUGGCCAGUAACUAUAGACAUAAUCAAUGCUUUCUCCACUUCUUUACUUGCUUUCCUUUUGAUCAAUUCAAUUGCAUACUCCAUGAAGGUUGAAUCAAAGGGCAGUUUAAGGUGUCCAUUUCUUGGAAUUCCAAACUCUUCUUCUGCCAAGUUGAACAACUCCAUCACUAUUUCGUUCUUCAGAUAUUCCAAAGGAAGCAUAAAGCGCUUCUCAUCAGCGCUAUACACCACAAAGUGACCCUUCUCCACCAUUGAUGAUGUGUUCGAGAAUGUGAUCCUUUUUCUCUUAAUCGCUGCCAAUUUUUGCCAUUUCCUUGCCAGUUUAACAAGCUUCCUUGCACUGAUCAUUUUGUUUGCUUUCUUAAACAAGGGAGAAUGUUUAGUAGGACAAGAGAAGGAAGAGAAUCUAAAAGAUCUUAGGAAACUGAAAAAGCUUUUCUUGUGCUGGGCUGAUGAAAAUUGAAAAUGGAUGAAAACAUAUAUAUAGAUGCACAAAAGUUCCAAAAGCAGUGCUUUGAAUGAAUCAACUAGAUGUAGGAGGCAAAACCAUGUGUUUGGAAAAUAUGAUCCAUCACUUGGGAAGUGGCCAGUUGGGCAUGUCUGGAAGGUAAGGGAAGUGCUCCAAUGACCUACAUGUUCUGGAUAUAUUACAUAAGUAGAAAAGAAAAAAAUGUGGUUCUAGUUUACUUUAACUCUGGAUUGAUGGGUUUUUAUGAUUUCUGGAAUAGGACUUGCCCCCCAAAGGACUAUACUUAGGUUGAAAUGUCUUUAUCUCCAGGCUGUUAUGCUUUUAGAUAUAUCAUAUAGAAAUCUACUUCACAUUGUUUUGUCUGUUGAUGGCUUCAAGAGAUUUCUAACAGCAGUGGUCCUGGUCGUCAUGUAUACUUCGUAGUACUGAAGGUCUUGAACUGUGGGGUCAAAUAUGGUAGCAUUUUACUUCAAUCCACAACCCAGACAAUAGGCUUCAAUCUACUUCAGCUGCUUUUACUUGAUAACUACUGUAAUUGGUUAGCCAAAAAAAUGUCCCAAAGGAAGUCCUUUGAAUUAAGGAACUCAAUCUAGGGACUCACGAAGCAAAACCAUGUGGUUAUAAAUUGUGUCAUCUACAAGUGCAAGACCAGGCAUUGCAGUACCCCACAUGUCCUGGAUAAUAAUACAUAAUGAGAAAAAGUUUGUGGUUCUAGUUUAGUGAACCUUGGAUUGAUGGGUUAUGCAAGUCUGAAACAGGAGUUUGUUGGGCAUGAGGAGGAGCAAAGGAAGAAAACAGAGAGCACAGAACAAUGACGCAAGAUGCAAGAAAUAUUUUUACUUGCUCACAAAUGUGCAGCAAGGGAGCUUAUGGCUGAUAGCUCAUUUUUCUCAUUCAUUCAACUAGAAAAAACAAUACAUUUAUAGUCAAAUACAUCACCAAAUACUACCUACUACCACUAAUCAUACUUUGAAACAAGUAAAACUUAACUUGCACACAAGCUGAUUAUGUCAAUCAGCACCUAAAAACAUCAAAACAAUACCAACUUAGUUCAUUUUCAACUAAGUAGCUUAACAAAGUAACUAAACAACCUUGCUGUUACAGCAAGCAUACAUGCUGCAGCAUGUUUACAAGCUGCAUGCACUUAACCAAAAAUAUACAGCAGCAUGGUUGGCCAAUUUUCAACAGAGUUGCUCCCAAAUGAUUUUACUUUGUGUAAAUGUCUUUAUUUCCAGGCUGUUAUGCUUUUGAAUAUCUCAUAUGAUAAUCUACUUUCACAUUCAUCUAUCUUCUGUUAAUGGCUCCAACAUAUUGCUAGCAACCGAUUUUCGUACUUUCUGUACAGAUGAAGAUGUUCAAUUGUGAGGUUGGAUAUGUUUGCGUUUUGCUUCCAUGCCCAGAUCAUAGGAUCUAAAGCUUAUGUGUACAGUACGUCCUGCUCAACUAAUAUUAACUUUGCACAUUAAUCCACUUCAGCCAGCAAACCGUCAGCUGCUUUACACAUUAGUGAGUUGCACCUCGACUUUUCAGGUUGGAUCAAACAGGAUUCGGGUCACACAACUCUAACAUUAUUUGGUGUGCUCUCCUUUGGUAAUAAGAUGAUAUAAUUCCAAGGGUUCAUAUUGUGCUGGUUUGAGGAUAAGACUAACCAUCAGCAGGAAAUACAGAAAGGGCUAGUGAAGAACUAGCUUAUAUUUACAGAUUCCAAUCUCAAAUAUAUAUUUGGGUAUAACAGUUUUGUUUGGAGAUAAAUUGUUGAUGUGAUAUUGUAGAUAAAAAAAUUUCUGAUGUUUUGCAUUGUAUACGUUAAUCUACAAAGGUGUGGGUCAAUUACAAGAUGCUAAAAGAAAAAGAAAUUUUGCUUCAGAUGCUCCAUAAUGGCAACUGUAGGCUCGUUUCUUGCUGAUAAAGAUAUGACGAUGAGCAACGGCCACUAGCUACGGACAAGAUCAAUGCUUUCUCCACGUCUUUACUUGGUUUCCUUUUGAUCAAAGCUAUUACAUAUUCCAUAAAGGUUGCAUCACAAGGCAAGAUGAGAGCUUUAUUGCCUGAUAGACCAAACUCUUCUCCGGCCAAGUUGAAUGCUUCCAUGACUAUUUCAUUCUUGAGAUAUUCCAAUGGAAGCACAAAGCGUUUCUGAUCCACACUGUAUACAACAAAAUGGCCCUGCUCAACUGCUGUCGACGUGCUGCAACUGUUUGCGUCAGUAUCUGAGGUGGCACUUGGUGAUGUGAUCCUCUUUCUCCUGAUUGCAGCCAUUUUUUGCCAUUUUCUUGCUAAAUUGAUAAGCUUCUUAGCUCUGACCAUCUUACUUUGCUCCAAGGUUAAUAGGAAAGAACUCUGAAAUGAAAGGAAAAAGAGGGAAGAUUUAGGUCUUGAAACUCUUCUGGAUAUAAAGCAAUGGAAAUUUGAAGAAUAUAUAACCAGAAGGUGAGAGACAGUCCCUUUAAUGAAUAGUACACUGCCGGUAUUCAUUGGAAACAAAGACAUGUGGUAGGCAGAUAUGUGUAGUCUGCAAGGUGACCAUGUUUGCUUUUAUUGGAUGAUUAACCCCCAACAAAGUUGAUCAUAUAUAGAAGGUCAUAUAUACAUCUUUAUGUAACUUCCAAGUGGUUUAACAACAAUAAGGUCCAGUAAUGAAAGUGGUCAAAUGAUCCACAUGUUCAGGAUUGAUGAGUUUUUAUAAUUUCUGAAACAGAUUUUGCCCCUAAAAGACUGUUUAUCUCUAGGCUGUUAUGCUUUUAAAUUGUCUUGUGUCUAAAUCUACUUUGCAUUUAUUUGUCUGUUAAUUGCUUCAAGAGAUUAUGGGGUCAAAUAUAGGCUUAAAUCUAUUUGAGCUGCCUUUACCUGAUAACUAUUACAACUGGAUAGACAUAAAAAAUAUAUGGUAAAAAGACCUCUUCAAUUCCUCUCAAUUUCGAAUUGAGCAAAUCAGUCCUUCUAAAAAAAUCAAAGUAAUUUAUUUCCUAUCAAUUUCGAAGGUUAGAAAUUAAGGACAAUUAAUCAUGGAGUUAAUGUUUUACAUCGAUUCUAUAUGACUUUGAUUGGUAUAAUAACAAUUUUAGCCCUCAUUGUUUUUACAUUCUAUUAAUUGGGUCCUAAUUUAACAAAUUUAUCCUACCACAUUUGUGUAAAUGUAUAAAUGUUCAGGUUGAAUUUAUUGAAUUUUCGUGAUAUUGGCUAUGUAUGCUUCCUCACAACCAUCUUCUUCUAAGACAGGUAAAUCUCUUGAAGAUUUAGUUGAGCCUUUCGCUAAUACAGCUCAAUGUUUGCAGGCAAACAUGGAGAACCACUUCCAGAACAUAGAAAAUCAAAUCAAUCAACUCAAGGUUUUAGUGUAGCAGAUUAGAAUCUCAAGAAGUUGACCAAGAGGUGGCCGCUCUCAAGGAAUUAAUGAUCAACCUAAUAGCGA
rnacentral:lncRNA from 1 species